rnacentral:lncRNA from 1 species
GCCGCAGAGCGAGUCGGGAAACGAUUUUAAACUGUGAAGGGCGUUGAAUGCCGAGUUGCCGCCUUAUCUCAGCCGAGGUAUUUCAGAUCUGGCCUUGAUGACAGAAGAGCUGUAGUGGAGGGGGCGUUUGGGACGCUUUGUCUUUGCCUUAAUCCCAAGCGGGCAAAAGCCUCGUCCUCAGAAGUGAGGAUCGCAGAGCCGUUAGGGAAUUUCAGUCUCGACAGUUUUGGAGCCGGGUUUGAAGAAUGAUUGGCAAAUCCGGAACGGGCGACAGUGUCAUAACGGCAUUUUAUUGAUGACCCUGGACCAGUCUAGUGGCCCAACAUCCCAGAAGAGAGCCAUGCUCCCACCAUGUUGGUUGCUGUAAAUGGUUCUGAAUUUCAAGGUAUUCACCACCCCCUCCCCCCAUCUCCCUCACUGUCUGAAGUGGUGAGCUAGAUGAGAGCCAGCUCUGCAGAGUCAUCAUGAAUCCCUGUUGUGUCUGCCACUCAUGGUGGUC